rnacentral:lncRNA from 1 species
UUGAGAAUGUGUACUUACAUUACGCUCACUUUAAUGGGCUUGACAUUGAGAUUAUAUAUCAAUAUGCCUGCUCACGGUUAUGAAAAAUGAAUGGGGGAGAACUGUAUAGCAGACUUGGACUCUGUUGUUGUGUUACACUGGAUUCACUUUUGUGAGUGAAGUGGAAAUUUGAGACUAUGAAUGAGUUCCAACUCAAAUAGACUGUAUGAAAAGAGUUCCAGUUUGUAUCCCUUUUUUUUAAUAAGUUUGACUGUUCACUAGAACUUUGCACAAAGCAAGUGAUUAGCCAGUGGUUCAUGUGCUACAAUGCUGAUGUUGGGGACAACAUAUAUUUUGAGGGGGAGUAUGUGACAGGUUAAAAAUGGUUAAAAAUGGUUAAUAUUGGAAAUGGUAAGGUAUUGGAAUUAUUAUUCAAAUUACUUUGUAAGUAUGUUCUAUACGGUUUAAAAGAAUAUCUUUCAUAUUUCUAGAAUUGCUGAAAUAUUACUAAUAGGGUAAAUACUGUGUAAUUUGCAAUUUGAGUGUUUGAUGGUUUGUAAAUCGAUUGCUUCUGACGUGCAUAGCGGUGUGUUCUUUGCGCCUGCGCAAAAAAGUGUGUGUGCUCUUUGGAAUAAAGCAACGAGGAAGUUGGAAGUCGACUGCUUCUCUGUCCAUUUAUUUGUUCCAAAGCAACCACCUUACCUCUCCCACACUGUUGGAGCGGAGGGCGCAACACCACCACUCUCCCACCUUGCAAGGGAAGCUGCUUUGGCUCUGAUGACGCUAAAGUCUACAUUCAGCACUUUUUGCAACAGUGAGUUUCUAACAUUUUUCUCGCUGCUGCUUCACAGCGUUUCUAACAAUAAGUAGGAAAUGACAUCAGUGAUUGGUGUUGAUAUGCAGAGUGUGUUUUGUUUGUUUCACAGGUACUACAGUGUGUACGACUCUGGAGACAGACAGUCACUGCUGGGUGCCUACCAUGAUGAGGCAUUAUUUUCAAUAACAACACCGUACAACAUCCAGAAUCCAUCAGGGUAAGGACACACACAGAGACACACACACACACACACACACACACACAGACACACACAUACACGUGCUGCUGAUUUCUUUGUUUUUCAGGAGCGUUCUGAGAGAAUAUUUCAAAGACAGUAGAAACCUGAAGAGGACCAAAGACUCCAGUAAGUUCUCCUGAAGUCAACGUAUGACUUGUAAUGAUUAGGGUUGGGUGCCGAAACCUGGAACGAGUAUGGGACCAGUUCCCAUGGAAACGCUAGUAACCAAUAAGAACAAAGAUUUCGGUGCCACACAUUACUUGAUACACAUGACGUUGUUGUUGCUGAUCAGAUCAUUGAUCAAUGACCUCAUUUCUAACAGUAGCACAUGCACAAAACACGGCCUGAAAGAAGGUGCGUGACACUAUCCGCC